rnacentral:rRNA from 1 species
UUAGAGUUUGAUCCUGGCUCAGGAUGAACGCUGGCGGUAUGCCUAACACAUGCAAGUCGAACGAACUCUUUCGAGAGUGAGUGGCGGACGGGUGAGUAACGCGUGAGAAUCUGCCUCUAAGACGGGGACAACAGUUGGAAACGACUGCUAAUACCGGAUGAGCCGCAAGGUAAAAGAUUUAUCGCUUAGAGAUGAGCUCGCGUCUGAUUAGCUAGUAGGUGAGGUAAGAGCUUACCUAGGCAACGAUCAGUAGCUGGUCUGAGAGGAUGAGCAGCCACACUGGAACUGAGACACGGUCCAGACUCCUACGGGAGGCAGCAGUGGGGAAUUUUCCGCAAUGGGCGAAAGCCUGACGGAGCAAUACCGCGUGAGGGAGGAAGGCGCAUGUCGUUGUAAACCUCUUUUCUCAAGGAAGAAGAAAGUGACGGUACUUGAGGAAGAAGCAUCGGCUAACUCCGUGCCAGCAGCCGCGGUAAUACGGAGGAUGCAAGCGUUAUCCGGAAUUAUUGGGCGUAAAGGGUCCGCAGGUGGCGAUUCAAGUCUGCUGUUAAAGACAGAAGCUUAACUUCUGGAGAGCAGUGGAAACUGGAGAGCUAGAGUUCGGGAGGGGUAGAGGGAAUUCCCAGUGUAGCGGUGAAAUGCGUAGAGAUUGGGAAGAACACCAGUGGCGAAGGCGCUCUACUGGACCGAAACUGACACUGAGGGACGAAAGCUAGGGGAGCGAAAGGGAUUAGAUACCCCUGUAGUCCUAGCUGUAAACGAUGGAUACUAGGCGUUGCUUGUAUCGACCCGAGCAGUGC